ACGGGUGAGUAAUGUCUGGGAAACUGCCUGAUGGAGGGGGAUAACUACUGGAAACGGUAGCUAAUACCGCAUAACGUCGCAAGACCAAAGAGGGGGACCUUCGGGCCUCUUGCCAUCAGAUGUGCCCAGAUGGGAUUAGCUAGUAGGUGGGGUAACGGCUCACCUAGGCGACGAUCCCUAGCUGGUCUGAGAGGAUGACCAGCCACACUGGAACUGAGACACGGUCCAGACUCCUACGGGAGGCAGCAGUGGGGAAUAUUGCACAAUGGGCGCAAGCCUGAUGCAGCCAUGCCGCGUGUAUGAAGAAGGCCUUCGGGUUGUAAAGUACUUUCAGCGGGGAGGAAGGUGUUGUGGUUAAUAACCUCAGCAAUUGACGUUACCCGCAGAAGAAGCACCGGCUAACUCCGUGCCAGCAGCCGCGGUAAUACGGAGGGUGCAAGCGUUAAUCGGAAUUACUGGGCGUAAAGCGCACGCAGGCGGUCUGUCAAGUCGGAUGUGAAAUCCCCGGGCUCAACCUGGGAACUGCAUUCGAAACUGGCAGGCUAGAGUCUUGUAGAGGGGGGUAGAAUUCCAGGUGUAGC
rnacentral:rRNA from 1 species